rnacentral:rRNA from 1 species
CCUACGGUCGGCAGCAGUGGGGGAUAUUGCACAAUGGGGGAAACCCUGAUGCAGCGACCCCGCGUGUGGGAAGACGGUCCUCUGGAUUGUAAACCACUGUCCCCAGGGACGAAGAUGACGGUACCUGGGGAGGAAGCUCCGGCUAACUACGUGCCAGCAGCCGCGGUAAUACGUAGGGAGCGAGCGUUGUCCGGAAUUACUGGGUGUAAAGGGAGCGUAGGCGGGACUGCAAGUUGGGUGUCAAAUCUACCGGCUCAACCGGUAGCCGCACUCAAAACUGCAGUUCUUGAGUGAAGUAGAGGCAGGCGGAAUUCCUAGUGUAGCGGUGAAAUGCGUAGAUAUUAGGAGGAACACCAGUGGCGAAGGCGGCCUGCUGGGCUUUUACUGACGCUGAGGCUCGAAAGUGUGGGGAGCAAACAGGAUUAGAUACCCGAGUAGUC